rnacentral:rRNA from 1 species
CAGGAUGAACGCNGGCGGCGUGCCUAAUACAUGCAAGUCGAGCGAACAGAUGAGAAGCUUGCUUCUNUGAUGUUAGCGGCGGACGGGUGAGUAACACGUGGGUAACCUACCUAUAAGACUGGGAUAACUCCGGGAAACCGGGGCUAAUACCGGAUAAUAUUUUGAACCGCAUGGUUCAAUAGUGAAAGACGGUUUCGGCUGUCACUUAUAGAUGGACCCGCGCCGUAUUAGCUAGUUGGUAAGGUAACGGCUUACCAAGGCGACGAUACGUAGCCGACCUGAGAGGGUGAUCGGCCACACUGGAACUGAGACACGGUCCAGACUCCUACGGGAGGCAGCAGUAGGGAAUCUUCCGCAAUGGGCGAAAGCCUGACGGAGCAACGCCGCGUGAGUGAUGAAGGUCUUCGGAUCGUAAAACUCUGUUGUUAGGGAAGAACAAAUUUGUUAGUAACUGAACAAGUCUUGAC